CGGACAGGUGAGUAACACGUGGAUAACCUACCUAUAAGACUGGGAUAACUUCGGGAAACCGGAGCUAAUACCGGAUAAUAUUUUGAACCGCAUGGUUCAAAAGUGAAAGACGGUCUUGCUGUCACUUAUAGAUGGAUCCGCGCUGCAUUAGCUAGUUGGUAAGGUAACGGCUUACAAAGGCAACGAUGCAUAGCCGACCUGGGAGGGUGAUCGGCCACACUGGAACUGAGACACGGUACAG
rnacentral:rRNA from 1 species